rnacentral:lncRNA from 1 species
AUGAGCUUUCAGUUUGGCGUUGGGGCUUUGUCGGGUCUGUGGGCAAGGAGAGCCGGUUUUGUCGACCUCAGCAGGGUCCGUGUGCCAAGCCCCUGGGCAUCGCCGCUCUGGAACAAUGCCGCUCCCGGCCCGAACUGGCCCGAGGGCCGUGUCAACCGGAGACGGUCACCCAGCGACAAACCCAACAGCCCCCCCCCCCGGCCCGUUUGGGGGAAGGAAACAAAAAAGCACCAAGAUCAGCAUCUGUCGGGAGGUGGAGGUUUGUUUUCAUUUUGGGGAAGGGAAGAAGAAGAGCCUCUUUCCCCAACUUUGUGCCUUUUGUCCUGGGCGCCCCUCCUGCCAGUUCAGCCAAGGGGAGAGAAAGCGCACGCGCACGCACACACACACACACGGCCAGCCUGGAGGGCCAGGAAGGCUCCAGACGGUUCACCCUGGGGACCCGAGCAGGGCCCGUUCAGAGGAGAAGGCGUGGAGGUGGAGCCGCACGCAGCACCUCACACCCUUUUCAGAUCCCCCUCAGCUGAAAAGAGGGCCAGGGGGGUGGAAGGGGUGGAGGUGGAAUGGAGGGUGACAGACUCAGGGGAGCUGGGUUCAAAUUCCCCACUCCAUCACGGAAGGGAGGUGCCAUGGCAAAGGCAACACCUCUUCGUCAAUCUCCCACAGGGUUUGAAAACCUUCUUAGGGUGGCCCCAAGUCCCCACAGGGCUUGAGGGGAGGCAACCUGACCUCCCAGAGCAUCCAGCAGAAGAUCAUGCCAAUAGGAAAGGGGAAACCCAUCCAAAGGGGAGGCCUCUCUCGGGCGCUCAAGCGUUCCCUGCCAGCCCUGACGGGGGCCAGAGGGAGCACGAAGGGCUCAGAGAAAGAGGACGCCAAGGAGGGGUGGGUGGCUGGAAGGAAGGAAGGGGGCAGAGUGACCAACUGGGGGGCCACGGCGUGCCCGGGAUCAAACCCCCCUCUCCCAGAGAGUGUGUCUGUCGUCUGGGCCUCUUCUCCCUGUCCCAGAGCAAUGAGGCUGUUUACAACGGCAGGGGCCAUGGGGCAGCCCUCCAGGUGUGGGUGUGGGACUCCGAUUCCCAGCAGGCCUGGGUUUGCUGA